rnacentral:rRNA from 1 species
ACGGAAGGCAGCAGUGGGGAAUAUUGCACAAUGGGGGAAACCCUGAUGCAGCGACGCCGCGUGAGUAAAGAAGUAUUUCGGUAUGUAAAGCUCUAUCAGCAGGGAAGAAAAUGACGGUACCUGACUAAGAAGCCCCGGCUAACUACGUGCCAGCAGCCGCGGUAAUACGUAGGGGGCGAGCGUUAUCCGGAAUUAUUGGGCGUAAAGAGUACGUAGGUGGUUUUGUAAGCGUGAGGUGAAAGCCUGCAGCUUAACUGCAGCGAGCCUCAUGAACUGCAAGACUUGAGUGCAGGAGGGGUAAGUGGAACUCCAUGUGUAGCGGUGAAAUGCGUAGAUAUAUGGAAGAACACCGGUGGCGAAGGCGACUUACUGGACUGUAACUGACACUGAGGUACGAAAGCGUGGGGAGCAAACAGGAUUAGAUACCCUGGUA